CCUACGGGUGGCAGCAGUAGGGAAUCUUUCACAAUGGGCGAAAGCCUGAUGGAGCAACGCCGCGUGCAGGAUGAAGGCCUUCGGGUUGUAAACUGCUUUUAUAAGCGAGAAAUAUGAUGGUAACUUAUGAAUAAGGAGCGGCUAACUACGUGACAGCAGCCGCGGUCAUACGUAGGAUCCGAGCAUUAUCCGGAGUGACUGGGUGUAAAGAGUUUCGUAGGUGGCAUAAUAAGUAGCUAGUGAAAUCUGGUGGCUCAACCAUUCAGACUAUUAGCUAAACUGUUAAGCUCGAGACCGUUAGGGGUAACUGGAAUUUCUAGUGUAGGAGUGAAAUGCGUAGAUAUUAGAAGGAACACCAAUAGCGUAGGCAGGUUACUGGGACGGUUCUGACACUAAGGCACGAAAGCGUAGGGAGCAAACAGGAUUAGAUACCCCUGUAGUC
rnacentral:rRNA from 1 species